rfam:Eubacterium sp. CAG:76 genomic scaffold, scf68
UGACCACUUGUAUCUUAGGUGUGCAGUAGUUAUACAGCAUAUCAGGAUAAAGUUAAGCCUAACGGACAGGCGGGUCGGUUGCCGG